UACGUAGAGUGCAAGCGUUAAUCGGAAUUACUGGGCGUAAAGCGUGCGCAGGCGGUUGUGCAAGACCGAUGUGAAAUCCCCGGGCUUAACCUGGGAAUGGCAUUGGUGACUGCACGGCUAGAGUGUGUCAGAGGGGGGUAGAAUUCCACGUGUAGCAGUGAAAUGCGUAGAGAUGUGGAGGAAUACCGAUGGCGAAGGCAGCCCCCCUGGGAUAACACUGACGCUCAUGCACGAAAGCGUGGGGAGCAAACAGG
rnacentral:rRNA from 1 species